UACUUAUCCAGAAAGACUGAGGGAAAGGCCCUGUGAUGUCUUAGCAACCUGUUGAUUAAUAAGGUGCUAAUUCCUGUCCGCAACGUAGCGGAGAAGAUAAGUG
rnacentral:ncRNA from 18 species